GAUGAACGCUGGCGGCGUGCCUAAUACAUGCAAGUCGAGCGAACAGACGAUGAGCAUGCUCCUCUGACGUUAGCGGCGGACGGGCGAGUAACACGUGGAUAACCUACCUAUUAGACUGGGUUAACUUCGGGAAACCGACGCUAAUACCGGAUAAUAUAUUGAACCGCAUGGUUCAAUAGGGAAAGACGGCUUUGCUGUCACUUAUAGAUCGAUCCGCGCCGCAUUAGCUAGUUGGUAAGGUAACGGCUUACCAAGGCAACGAUGCGUAGCCGACCUGAGAGGGUGAUCGGCCGCACUUGAACUGAGACACGGUCCAGAGUCCUACGCGAGGCAGCAGUAGGGAAUCUUCCGCAAUGGGCGAGAGCUUGACGUAGCAACGCCGCGUGAGUGAUGAAGGUGUUCCGAUCGUAAGACUCUGUUAUUUGGGAAUAACCAAUGCGUAGUUACAUAUGCUCUUCUUGACGAUACCUUAUCAGAAAGCUACGGCUAACUACGUG
rnacentral:rRNA from 1 species